GUUUGAUCCUGGCUCAGAACGAACGCUGGCGGCGUGGCUAAAACAUGCAAGUCGAACGGAAAGGCUUUUCCAGCUUGCUGGAGAAGCACUCAAGUGGCGAAAGGGCGAGGAAUACAUGGGUAACGUACCUCUUGCUCAGGGAUAGCCGUGGGAAACCGCGGGUAAUACCUGAUGUGACCACAGUGCCAUAUGACACAGUGGUAAAAGGUUGGGAUCUUCGGACCUUCCGGCGAGAGAGCGGCCCAUGUCCUAUCAGCUUGUUGGUGAGGUAACGGCUCACCAAGGCUUCGACAGGUACCGGGACUGAGAGGUUGACCCGGCGCAUUGGGACUGAGACACUGCCCAGACUCCUACGGGAGGCUGCAGUAACGAAUAUUGCACAAUGAGCGCAAGCUUGAUGCAGCGACGCCGCGUGUGGGAGGAAGCCCCUCGGGGUGUAAACCACUGUCGGGGAUUACCAAGCGGAGAGGGUCAAUAGCCCUCCGAGUUGAGGAGUCCCUAAGGAAGUCACGGCUAACUUCGUGCCAGCAGCCGCGGUAAUACGAAGGUGGCGAGCGUUGUUCGGAAUCACUGGGCUUAAAGAGCACGUAGGCGGGCUGCCAAGCGUCUUGUGAAAGCCCUCGGCUCAACCGAGGAAUUGCUUGGCGAACUGGCAGCCUUGAGGCAGGUAGGGGUACACGGAACUCUUGGUGGAGCGGUGGAAUGCGUAGAUAUCAAGAGGAACGCCAGCGGCGAAGGCGGUGUACUGGGCCUGACCUGACGCUGAGGUGCGAAAGCCAGGGGAGCGAACGGGAUUAGAUACCCCGGUAGUCCUGGCCCUAAACGAUGUCUACUAGGUCUGAGGCGUUCUGACACGGUUCAGGCCGGAACAAAAGCGUUAAGUAGACCGCCUGGGGAGUACGGUCGCAAGGCUAAAACUCAAAGGAAUUGACGGGUCUUCACACAAGCGGUGGAGCAUGUUGCUUAAUUCGAUUCAACGCGAAGAACCUUAUCCUGGGCUUGACAUGUUCGGAUGCCUCCUGGGAAACCAGAUUUGGCUGCCCUUCGGGGUGAAACGUUCACAGGUGCUGCAUGGCUGUCGUCAGCUCGUGUCGUGAGAUGUUGGGUUAAGUCCCGUAACGAGCGAAACCCUUGUCGUUAGUUGCCAGCGCGUUAUGGCGGGGACUCUAGCGAGACUGCCGGUGUUAAACCGGAGGAAGGUGGGGAUGACGUCAAGUCCUCAUGGCCUUUAUGCCCAGGGCUGCAAACGUGCUACAAUGGCGUGUACAGACCGACGCAAGACCGCGAGGUGGAGCAAAUCGGACAAAGCACGCCCCAGUUCGGAUUGGAGUCUGCAACUCGACUCCAUGAAGUUGGAAUCGCUAGUAAUCGCAGAUCAGCUAUGCUGCGGUGAAUGUGUUCCUGAAGAUUGUACACACCGCCCGUCAAGUCAUGGAAGCCGGGAGCACCCGAAGUCGGGGCGUUUCAGCCCUGCCGAAGGUGAGUUCGGUGACUGGGACUAAGUCGAAACAAGGUA
rnacentral:rRNA from 1 species